UACAGAGGUCUCGAGCGUUAGGCGGAAUCACUGGGCUUAAAGCGUGUGUAGGUGGAUCGUUAAGUACCUUGUGAAAUCCCACGGCUUAACCGUGGAACUGCCUUUGAUACUGGCGAUCUUGAGUCCGGGAGAGGUGAGUGGAACUGCGAGUGUAGAGGUGAAAUUCGUAGAUAUUCGCAAGAACACCAGUGGCGAAGGCGGCUCACUGGCCCGGUACUGACGCUGAGGUGCGAAAGCGUGGGGAGCAAACAGG
rnacentral:rRNA from 1 species